CACCUCUAGCAUUACUAGUAUUAGAGGCACUGCCUGCCCAGUGACACGAGUUAAACGGCCGCGGUAUUCUGACCGUGCAAAGGUAGCAUAAUCAUUUGUUCUAUAAAUAAGGACUUGUAUGAAUGGCCACACGAGGGUUCUACUGUCUCUUACUUCCAAUCGGUGAAAUUGACCUUCCCGUGAAGAGGCGGGAAUAUAACAAUAAGACGAGAAGACCCUAUGGAGCUUUAAUUAACUAACCCAAUAGAAUUUAUUCAAUUAACCAAUAUGGGACAAAGUAAUUCUACAGUGGGACAGCAAUUUAGGUUGGGGCGACCUCGGAGUAUAGCACAACCCCCGAGUGAUAUAAAUCUAGACAUACCUGUCAAAACGAACUAUCAUAAAUUGAUCCAAAAAUUUUUGAUCAACGGAACAAGUUACCCUAGGGAUAACAGCGCAAUCCUAUUCAAGAGUUCAUAUCGACAAUAGGGUUUACGACCUCGAUGUUGGAUCAGGACAUCCCAAUGGUGCAGCAGCUAUUAAAGGUUCGUUUGUUCAACGAUUAAAGUCCUACGUGAUCUGAGUUCAGACCGGAGUAAUCCAGGUCGGUUUCUAUCUAUUAACCAGUCUCUCCCAGUACGAAAGGACAAGAGAGACAAGGCCCACUUC
rnacentral:rRNA from 1 species